GACGAACGCUGGCGGCGUGCCUAAUACAUGCAAGUUGAGCGAUGAAGCUUGGUGCUUGCCCCAAUUUGAAGAGCAGCGAACGGGUGAGUAACGCGUGGGGAAUCUGCCUUUGAGCGGGGGACAACAUUUGGAAACGAAUGCUAAUACCGCAUAAUAACUUUAAACAUAAGUUUUAAGUUUGAAAGAUGCAAUUGCAUCACUCAAAGAUGAUCCCGCGUUGUAUUAGCUAGUUGGUGAGGUAAAGGCUCACCAAGGCGAUGAUACAUAGCCGACCUGAGAGGGUGAUCGGCCACAUUGGGACUGAGACACGGCCCAAACUCCUACGGGAGGCAGCAGUAGGGAAUCUUCGGCAAUGGACGAAAGUCUGACCGAGCAACGCCGCGGGAGUGAAGAAGGGUUUCGGAUCGGAAAACUCUGUUGGUAGAGAAGAACGUUGGUGAGAGUGGAAAGCUCAUCAAGUGACGGUAACUACCCAGAAAGGGACGGCUAACUACGUG
rnacentral:rRNA from 1 species